CCCCUGGGCUUCUUCUCCUUCCCAGUGAGGGCCAACCAGCCCGUUGUCUACCCGCUGGUCCCCUGCGACUCGGAUUGCCAGGACAACGUCACCUUUGGUUGCUUGGUCACCGACUACUUCCCCCAACCCGUCACCGUCACCUGGAUCUCCAGCGUGAAAGGGGAUGAGGAGACCUUCCCGGCCAUCCGGGGCAGCAACAGCUACUACAGCCUCAGCACCCAGCUCACCGUCCCCGGCCCCAGCGUGAAGGACAACCGGUUCCAGUGUAGAGUGGUCCACAGCACCACCAGCACCACCAGCACCACGGACAUCCCAGAACUAUGUAUUCCCACCCACGUGGAGGCAAAGCUCCUGAGCGACCCCAACAAGUACAAGGCGGACGGUCAGGUCCUCCUCCUCUGCCUCGUCGAGGGCCACGGAGCCGGCAGUGCCCAGGUGCAAUGGCUGAAGAACCACGCCCCACUGGAGGUCACCCCGGUGACCUACACCUGCGACCAGUGCUCUGACAAGAUGGCCACCUUCAGCAGCCAGGUCAACGUCAGCCAGCAGAGCUGGGACCUUGGCGCCGAGUUCUCGUGCCGGGUGACGCACGUGUCGCUGAAGCAACCCACCGUCCUCAACAUCAGCACCUUCUCCACAGAUUGUGCGCCCAAGGUGGAGGUUACCAUCCUCCCCCCAUCCUUGGAGGAGCUCUACCUCAGCCAAAACGCCAGCAUCACCUGCGUGGCCACCAACCUGAAGUCCUCUGAGGACGUGAAGUUCUCCUGGAGCCGGGGGAGCGGCGCCGCUGCCGAGGCGACGCUGGGAAGGGCCGAGGCGCUGGAGAACGGGCUCUACCGCCUCACCAGCACCCUGAAGAUCUGCGCCGACGAAUGGAAUUCCGGCGAGAAGUUCACCUGCACCGUCCGUGUCCCCGAGCUCGACCAAUCCAUCUCCAGGUCCAUCCAGAAGGACAUAGACACCCCCGUGACGCCGCCCAACGUCUACAUCUUCCCUCCACCGGCGGAAGAGUUGGCCCGUCAGGAAACGGCCACCUUGACCUGCUUGGCCACCGGUUUCCGUCCCCGUGACAUCUUGGUGACCUGGACCCAAGAAGACCGUCCCGUAGCUCCGGGGAGCUUCUCCAUCUUCGGUCCGGAAGAAAAUGGCGGCACCUUCAGCGUCUACAGCAUGUUGACCGUGCCGGCGGGGGCGUGGCAACGGGGUGACGCCUUCUCCUGCGUGGUCGGCCAUGACGGCAUCCCCAUGCACUUCGUGCAGCGGACGGUGGACAAGAGCAAAGGUUUGGGACAAGAAUUGGGUGGAAAAUGGGGGUGGAAGAUGGGUGAAAAUGGGUGA